rnacentral:rRNA from 1 species
GCUAACGAGCGCAACCCUCGUCGUAUGUUAUAUGUGUCAUACGAGACUGCCGGUAAAAGCCGGAGGAAGGUGAGGAUGAUGUCAAGUCAGCAUGACCUUUAUAUCCAGGGCUACACACACGCUACAAUGGUCUGUACAAUGGGUAGCCAAGCCGCGAGGCGGAGCCAAUCCUGAAAGCAGGCCUCAGUUCAGAUUGCAGUCUGCAACUCGACUGCAUGAAGCCGGAGUUGCUAGUAACCGCAGGUCAGCAAUACUGCGGUGAAUACGGUUCCCGGGUCUU